rnacentral:rRNA from 1 species
CAAUAGCGUAUAUUUAAGUUGCUGCAGUUAAAAAGCUCGUAGUUGGAUUUCGGGUGGGAAUGGCCGGUCCGCCGUUUCGGUGUGCACUUGCUACGCCCACCUUGCUGCCGGGGACGUGCUCUUGAGUUCACGCUCGGGACACGGAGUCGGCGAGGUUACUUUGAGUAAAUUAGAGUGUUCGAAGCAGGCCUACGCUCUGAAUACAUUAGCGUGGAAUAACACGAUAGGACUCUGGCCUAUCUUGUUGGUCUGUAGGACCGGAGUAAUGAUUAAGAGGGACAGUCGGGGGCAUUCGUAUUUCAUUGUCAGAGGUGAAAUUCUUGGAUUUAUGAAAGACGAACUACUGCGAAAGCAUUUGCCAAGGAUGUUUUCAUUAA